AACGAACGCUGGCGGCAUGCCUAACACAUGCAAGUCGAACGAGACCUUCGGGUCUAGUGGCGCACGGGUGCGUAACGCGUGGGAAUCUGCCCUUAGGUUCGGAAUAACUUCGGGAAACUGAAGCUAAUACCGGAUGAUGACGUAAGUCCAAAGAUUUAUCGCCUAAGGAUGAGCCCGCGUUGGAUUAGCUAGUUGGUGAGGUAAAGGCUCACCAAGGCGACGAUCCAUAGCUGGUCUGAGAGGAUGAUCAGCCACACUGGGACUGAGACACGGCCCAGACUCCUACGGGAGGCAGCAGUGGGGAAUAUUGGACAAUGGGCGAAAGCCUGAUCCAGCAAUGCCGCGUGAGUGAUGAAGGCCUUAGGGUUGUAAAGCUCUUUUACCAGGGAUGAUAAUGACAGUAACCUGGAGGAAUAAAGCUCCGGCUAACUCCGUGCCAGCAGCCG
rnacentral:rRNA from 1 species